AGGGUGCAAGCGUUAUCCGGAUUUACUGGGUUUAAAGGGUACGUAGGCGGACUAUUAAGUCAGGGGUGAAAUCUCCGAGCUCAACUCGGAAACUGCCUUUGAAACUAGUGGUCUUGAAUUAUGUUGAGGUUGGCGGAAUAUAACAUGUAGCGGUGAAAUGCAUAGAUAUGUUAUAGAACACCGAUUGCGAAGGCAGCUGACUAAACAUAUAUUGACGCUGAUGUACGAAAGCGUGGGGAUCA
rnacentral:rRNA from 1 species